UUUUGGCAGAAGCUUCUUGUUUCUGUUUGAAAGACUGAGAAGUUUGAUGUCACAAUUCCAGACAAAACCAUUAAGAGACGUUUAGUUUCUGAGGUUGAGCUGGAAUCAGGUUCCUCUGAUCCUCUGAACCCCUGAUGGGAACCAGCUUUCUGCUUCACUGGACACUUACUGGACCUGGACUACUGGACUGACUGGUUCUGGUUUCUUUCUUAGGCUGACUGAAGUCCAGAAGAUGGAAGAUCUGGAUCUAAAGAAGGACAGAGCAGAAUCUACAGAACCCAUCAGUCCGUCUGUGAGGAGUGACCGGUCCAAAGAUGAACCUCCAGAGUUCAGAACUGAACCUGGACCCUCAGACAGAAAAGGUCAGAACCACAGAGGGAGAGCAGAACCUCCAGGAUCCAGCUGUCCCUCCAUGUGGAGUGACUGGUCCAAAC